AUCCAUCUGAUGACCAACCUAAUCCAUCUGAUGACAGCCUAAUCCAUCUGAUGAUUUGAAAUCUAAAGAGAAAAAUGAAGAGAGAAGAUGCAACAUUAAAGCUGACAAAAUCAGUGAUUUAAAUGUAACCAAACAGGAAUUGAAGCUUUUCAUGGAAAUGUAUUGGCACCAAAUGGUGGAUUCAAGGUUAGCAU